ACCAAAUUUUAUAUUACGCUAGCUUAAUCAUCUCCGCCUCUGGUUUGUUGUUAUGCUAAGCUAACACUGACCUGGGUAGGGCGGUUGACUAGGAACAGGACCCAGAACUUCUUUAUGUGGAUGAUAACGGCGGGCAUAAUACCCAAUGGCAAGUCCUCCUGGCGCCGCAGAAUCGGCCAACGCCUACGUUGGUGACCGAACUGGUGCUGUGGCAGACGACGCAUCCCCUUCAAACCCAUCCCGCCUUUGUCUCAUUUCCCUUUUUCCUUCAUAAAGGAAUCAGAAAAGCACGCCAGCAUAGAAGAUAACUUGUUUUUCUUGCUUGUUCUCAUAUUCGUUCCAAAUCAUUUUGCUGUCUCUAAGCGCGUUUCAUGUACAGAAUAACAUGGCCUGGGCCGUAAGGAGGCGUUCGAAGCCCCGCGUUUACCCAAGUGGGCGCCCACAGCCUCGAAUUGCUGAACGUGCCCGGAAUAUUAUGAACUUGCUAGCUGACGGCCACUCGCGUCGCUAUCGGGAACGACUACUCGUGAAGCGGGAGCACACAAGUGGAUUUCUGGGCCAUAUCCGCUGUCCUUUAGCCUCAUCUAGUGCCCGCGUCGUGAUACUACUCUAUGUUCGCGCUGCAGAGCGAGUCCUCCAGCUUGAGAUAGGGUAAGCAGGGGUUCCCUGUGUCCCGCAGUCACAGCACCGCUAUGGACAGCAGCACGCCAAAACCGCUGUCGGAACUCUUCUCCCGCAAGGGAGGCCGACUUUUCAAAAGAAAUUGCUGCCAGCAGCGGCAGAACCACCCCAAUCUGUUAAGAACAGCGCUGAACAUUGCCUUCGUCUGCCGCUUUUGGAUACUGAGCGCCCAGAGGACACUAGUUGUACUAGAAAGCUUGGCUCUAUACUGAUGUAGGUCCAAUUACCGCUCCCGUCCCUUUGUCCCUCUGAUUUGCCAGCUUUUUCAAGGUUCCGUCUGUCGACGCGACUCAAUAGGGAAAGACGUUGCCUGCCGUUGAUGAUAUUACAGCAACUGCAUCCUGUUCUUUCUGGGUCUUCUUCUGAACGGUUUCGCGGGUUCCCCACGAUACGACAUUGAGGUUGAUGAGCGAGUACAAGAUAAG